GACGAACGCUGGCGGCGUGCUUAACACAUGCAAGUCGAACGGAAAGGCCCUGCUUGCCGGGUACUCGAGUGGCGAACGGGUGAGUAACACUUGGGUGAUCUGCCCUGCACUUCGGGAUAAGCCUGGGAAACUGGGUCCAAUACCGGAUAGGAGCCAUUUUUAGUGUGAUGGUUGGAAAGUUUUUUCGGUGUAGGAUGAGCUCGCGGCCUAUCAGCUUGUUGGUGGGGUAAUGGCCUACCAAGGCGGCGACGGGUAGCCGGCCUGAGAGGGUGGACGGCCACAUUGGGACUGAGAUACGGCCCAGACUCCUACGGGAGGCAGCAGUGGGGAAUAUUGCACAAUGGGCGCAAGCCUGAUGCAGCGACGCCGCGUGGGGGAUGACGGCCUUCGGGUUGUAAACUCCUUUCGCUAGGGACGAAGCUUUUGUGACGGUACCUAGAGAAGAAGCACCGGCUAACUACGUG
rnacentral:rRNA from 1 species